GUGGAUUAGAUACCCUGGUAGUCCAUGCCGUAAACGGUGGGCGCUAGGUGUAGGGACCUUUUGGGGUUUCUGUGCCGUAGCUAACGCAUUAAGCGCCCCGCCUGGGGAGUACGGCCGCAAGGCUAAAACUCAAAGGAAUUGACGGGGGCCCGCACAAGCGGCGGAGCAUGUGGAUUAAUUCGAUGCAACGCGAAGAACCUUACCUGGGCUUGACAUACACUGGAUCGCUGCAGAGAUGUAGUUUCCCUUGUGGCUAGUGUACAGGUGGUGCAUGGUCGUCGUCAACU
rnacentral:rRNA from 1 species